AUCCAGCUGACGAGUCCCAAGUAAGACGAAACACGCGUCCUGGAU
rnacentral:hammerhead_ribozyme from 1 species